rnacentral:rRNA from 1 species
GAUGAACGCUGGCGGCGUGCCUAAUACACGCAAGUCGAGCGAACAGACGAGGAGCUUGCUCCUCUGACGUUAGCGGCGGACGGGUGAGUAACACGUGGAUAACCUACCUAUAAGACUGGGAUAACUUCGGGAAACCGGAGCUAAUACCGGAUAAUAUAUUGAACCGCAUGGUUCAAUAGUGAAAGACGGUUUUGCUGUCACUUAUAGAUGGAUCCGCGCCGCAUUAGCUAGUUGGUAAGGUAACGGCUUACCAAGGCAACGAUGCGUAGCCGACCUGAGAGGGUGAUCGGCCACACUGGAACUGAGACACGGUCCAGACUCCUACGGGAGGCAGCAGUAGGGAAUCUUCCGCAAUGGGCGAAAGCCUGACGGAGCAACGCCGCGUGAGUGAUGAGGGUCUUCGGAUCGUAAAACUCUGUUAUUAGGGAAGAACAAAUGUGUAAGUAACUAUGCACGUCUUGACGGUACCUAAUCAGAAAGCCACGGCUAACUACGUG